UAGGUAGGUUUCAUGUUGUUGGGU
rnacentral:miRNA from 1 species